AGAGAGAGAGAGAGAGAGAUCUCUACUGAGAGGAUCUCUGAAGUUGGAGCAGGAUUUCAGAGAGAGAGAGAGAGAGAGAGAUCUCUACUGAGAGGAUUGGUGUAGUUAGAGCAGGAGGUCAGGGAGAUAGAUCUCUACCGAGAGGAUCUCUGAAGUUAGAGCAGGAGGUCAGGGAGAGAGAUGUGUACUUGUCUGCUCUGUUAUCUCGACUUUAGUAUGAACAAGUUUGUCCUUGUGCAGAAUACAGAAAACAUGCCGCGUUGCAAUUCUAGUUUGGCAGCGGUGUGACUGACAACCCAGAUCAGUGUGUCAUUACACUUGAAUGUAAAUUGUGGGACUUUAUAUAAGAAUAAGGUGCCAUUUAUCCACUUCACAAAGUGGUUUCUCAACGGUAACCCUUUAAAGAAAGCAGACACUUAGUUCUUCAUACAAGAUCACAAAUUGUAUUUUGGCAAUUUUUUUUUUUUUUUUUUUUUUAAACAAGUGCAUAUACACAUUACAGUUAAAUGAUUUCAGUUGGAUGCUAAGUGUUCACACAGAGAGAGAGAGAGAGAUAGAGAGAGGAGAGAGAGAGAGAGAGAGAGAGAGAGAGAGAGAGAGAGAGAGAGAGAGAGAGAGAGAGAGAGAGAGAGAGAGAGAGAGAGAGAGAGAGAGAG